rnacentral:rRNA from 1 species
AUUGAACGCUGGCGGCAGGCCUAACACAUGCAAGUCGAACGGUAACAGGAAACAGCUUGCUGUUACGCUGACGAGUGGCGGACGGGUGAGUAAUGUCUGGGAAACUGCCUGAUGGAGGGGGAUAACUACUGGAAACGGUAGCUAAUACCGCAUAACGUCGCAAGACCAAAGAGGGGGACCUUCGGGCCUCUUGCCAUCGGAUGUGCCCAGAUGGGAUUAGCUAGUAGGUGGGGUAACGGCUCACCUAGGCGACGAUCCCUAGCUGGUCUGAGAGGAUGACCAGCCACGCUGGAACUGAGACACGGUCCAGACUCCUACGGGAGGCAGCAGUGGGGAAUAUUGCACAAUGGGCGCAAGCCUGAUGCAGCCAUGCCGCGUGUAUGAAGAAGGCCUUCGGGUUGUAAAGUACUUUCAGCGGGGAGGAAGGGAGUAAAGUUAAUACCUUUACUCAUUGACGUUACCCGCAGAAGAAGCACCGGCUAACUCCGUG